GGGCUUUGUGAUGGACACUCCAGGUCAGGGCUUUGUGAUGGACACUCCAGGUCAGGGCUUUGUGAUGGACACUCCACUCCAGGUCAGGGCUUUGUGAUGGACACUCCAGGACAGGGCUUUGUGAUGGACACUCCAGGACAGGGCUUUGUGAUGGACACUCCACUCCAGGACAGGGCUUUGUGAUGGACACUCCACUCCAGGUCAGGGCUUUGUGAUGGACACUCCACUCCAGGUCAGGGCUUUGUGAUGGACACUCCACUCCAGGUCAGGGCUUUAUGGUGGACACUCCACACUCUGAUGCCUAUCAGAAGCUUCUAAAGCCAUGACAUCAUUUUCUGGAAUUUUCCAAGCUGUUUAAAGGCACAGUCAACUUAGUGUAUGUAAACUUCUGAUCCACUGGAAUUGUGAUACAGUGAAUUAUAAGUGAAAUAAUAUGUUUGGAAAGAAUAGGACAAAUUACUUGUCAUGCACAAAGUAGAUGUCCUAACCGACUUACCAAAACUAUAGUUUGUUAAGAAGAAAUUUGUGGAGUGGUUGAAAAAUAAUUUGUAUUGACUCCAAUCUGAGUGUAUGUAAACUUAUGACUUCAACUGUAUAUGCUGUGUAUAGAGCCCCACAUUGGAGGUGUGAUAAUACCCAUACAACCUAGCGGUGAAACAGGGAAAUCGUUCCAGUCUAUUUUCCACCAUUCAUUCUUCCCAUUGGGAAUUGUUAGAAACACUUAAAAUAAGGUCUGUGUUUCAUGUAGGCUUACCCUGGCGUGACAUUUUAUUAACCUGUAAAUCUCUCUUGGACAAGAUGACUUUUAUCAAUAUAUUUGGCUCUAUUUACUCUCAGAUUUGAAAACACUAAUUAGCAUCAAAGUAGAGAUCGUGAAAAACUACAAAUACCUGCAUGUUCCUGCACGUCAUCUCAAGCUGACACCUUUACUAACAGGUAUUAUGGAAAUGUAAAACUUGCACAAGACAGUUCACAGAAUUGCAGGAAAUAAAACAGAUGUUUUUUUCUCUCCAACGUCAAGAGGGGGGGGCACUAAAAUAUUUUGCAGUGAAGUAGUGGGGCCCCCAAACGGCUACUGCCGGCCCUGGAGAUCUGGAUACAAUGCAGCUAGAUAAUAAACAAAUGAAGCAGCUGGAAGAAAUACUCACGGCCAUGAUAGAAACCAAACGUGAGUUGGCUUGGGGGUGUGGUUUGACGUCCUUGCCACCACCAAGACACACCCAUCUAUCAGAACCUUGCCUGCAGCUGUUUCCUCCCCACUCAUUCACAACAAACAAACCUCCUGUAGAUUCAGUUCAAUAACUACAGGCAGAUGUAUGGUGAGAUGCCAGAGGAAGCUUUGACUAGGUCAGUAGUCUACAGAGUAAUAUGAGAAGAAUGCAAUUGUUGAAUUUAUGUAGAUAUUCUAAACUAAGUGUUUUGAUAACUUUCAAUUGUAGUAACAGCUCCAUGUAGAAUAAACAACCCUUUACAUAAAACCAUAGAAGAA